GCCAGCGUAGCUCAGUUGGUCAGAGCAGCUGAUUUGUAAUCAGCAGGUCGUGGGUUCGAAUCCCUCCGCUGGCUCCA
rnacentral:tRNA from 1 species